rnacentral:misc_RNA from 1 species
GAUGAAGAACGCAGCGAAAUGCGAUAAGUAAUGUGAAUUGCAGAAUUCCGUGAAUCAUCGAAUCUUUGAACGCACAUUGCGCCCCCUGGUAUUCCGGGGGACAUGCCUGUCCGAGCGUCAUUGCUGCCCUCAAGCACGGCUUGUGUGUUGGGCCUCCGUCCUCCUCCCGGGGGACGGGCCCGAAAGGCAGCGGCGGCACCGCGUCCGGUCCUCGAGCGUAUGGGGCUUCGUCACCCGCUCUUGUAGGCCCGGCCGGCGCUUGCCGACACAUCAAUCUUUUUUCCAGGUUGACCUCGGAUCAGGUAGGGAUACCCGCUGAACUUAAGCAUAUCAAUAAGCGGAGGA